AUUGAACGCUGGCGGCGUGCCUAAUACAUGCAAGUCGAACGCAGUGGCGGACGGGUGAGUAACACGUGGGUAACCUGCCCUGCACUUCGGGAUAAGCCUGCGAAACUGGCUCUAAUACCGGAUAGUGUGGGAUGGGCCCGGGGCCUAUCAGCUUGUUGGUGGGGUACUGGCCUACCACGGCGGCGACGGGUAGCCGGCCUGGGAGGGUGGACGGCCACAAUGGGACUGAGACAGGGCCCAGAGUCCUACGGGAGGCAGCGGUGGGGAAUAUGGCACAAUGGGCGGAAGCCUGAUGCAGCGACGCCGCGUGGGGGAUGACGGCCUUCGGGGUGGAAACUCCUUUCACCAUCGACGCGGUAGAUGGAGAAGAAGCACCGGCUAACUACGUGCCAGCAGCCGCGGUAAUAC
rnacentral:rRNA from 1 species